UUAGUUUAAACUAUCUAUAUAGGAAAAGUAUUAGGCCAAAUAUAGGUAUAUAGGCCAAAUUUGCAGGUUACUUUUUUAGUUAAUAUAUACUACGUGCUCCCUCCGUUAAAAAACCUCCAUGAAUAGAUAAACUAAACAUUUCCAGUUACUCUUCAUCCUACCAGUGAGAGUAUUUAAAAUAUAAUAUUUUGUUACUAAUUAAUCUAUUAAUCUACUAAUUUAAUCAGUUUAUUUUAUAAUGGAUUUACAGUAAGCAAAAUUGUACUCUACUGCAAGAUGUUUAAUGGGCUUUAUCUAGUGUCCACUUGUUUAAGAGAGCC